GUGCCAGCCGCCGCGGUAAUACCGGCAGCUCAAGUGAUGUCCCAUAUUAUUGGGCCUAAAGCGUCCGUAGCUGGCCAGACAAGUCCGUUGGGAAAUCCACUCGCCCAACGAGUGGGCGUCCGACGGAAACUGCACAGCUUGGGACCGGAAGGCUCGAAGGGUACGUUCGGGGUAGGGGUGAAAUCCCAUAAUCCCGCACGGACCACCGAUGGCGAAAGCACUUCGAGAAAACGGAUCCGACAGUGAGGGACGAAAGCCAGGGUCUCCAACCGGAUUAGAAACCCCGUAGUCC
rnacentral:rRNA from 1 species